AUGUUGGCCAUGGAGCAGGAGCAGCGGGAAUUCUGCUGUGCCCCAGAGCUGUGCCAGCGGGGACACGGCACAGAUCCACAGGGAUCCCGAGGGUGUCCCCAAGGGAUGAGCCAGGGCACAGCCCGUGGGCACAGAGAUCUGUCCUGGUGGUUGGACUUCAUCACCCAGGAGAUGUCCCACAUGGAAGAAUUCAUCGACCAGCAGCUGCGCCAGAAGAAAGCCUGGGGAGACCAGGAACUGUGCCAGGGGCACGGCAACGGGUGCCAGGAUCUGUCCCAAUGGCAGGAAUUCACCAACCAAGAGUGGUGCCAAGGGGAGGCCAAAGGAUCCCAAGAGUGGCGCCAAGGGGAAUCCAAUGGAUCCCAAGAGUGGCACCAAGGGGAAUCCAAUGGAUCCCAAGAGUGGCACCAAGCGGACGCCAAUGGAUCCCAAGAGUGGCACCAAGGGGACACCAAUGGAUCCCAAGAGUGGCGCCAAGGGGAAGCCAUCAGAUACAAAAGUGUGUCCCAAUGGGAAGAUCUGAUCAACCAGGAGAUGUCCCAAAUGGAAGAACUCUUCAACCAGGAGAUGUCCCAGAUGGAAGAACUCUUCGACCAAGAGACGUGCCACACGGAAAACUUCAUGGACCAAGAACUGUGCCAAGGGAACGCCAAGAGAUACCAGGAACGGUGCCAAGGGAACGCCAAGGGAUACAAAACUGUGUCCCAAUGGGAAGACUUAAUCCACCAGGAGAUGUUCCAGAUGAAAGUAUCCAUCAACCAUGAGAUGUUCCACAUGGAAGACUUCACCAACCACAAGAUGUCCCAAAUGGAAGGAUCUCUCAACCAGGAGAUCUCCCAAAUGGAAGAAUCCAUCAACCACAAGAUGUCCCACAUGGAAGAAUCCAUCAACCACAAGAUGUCCCACAUGGAAGAAUCCAUCAGCCAUGAGACGUCCCACAUGGAAGGAUCCACCAACCAGGAGAUGUCCCAGAUGAAAGAAUCCAUCAGCCAUGAGAUGUCCCACAUGGAAGACUUCACCAACCACAAGAUGUCCCAAAAGGAAGGAUCUCUCAACCAGGAGAUCUCCCAAAUGGAAGGAUCCAUCAACCAGGAGAUGUUCCAAAUGGAAGACUUCACCAACCAAAAGACCUCCCAAAUGGAAGGAUCCAUCAACCAGGAGAUGUUCCACAUGGAAGGAUCCAUCAACCAAGACCCGUGGCAAGGAAAAGCCAAGAGACACCAAGAACAGCACCAAGGGAAAAUCAAUGGACACAAAACUCUGUCCCAAUGGGAAGACUUAAUCCACCAGGAGAUGUGCCAGAUGGAAGAAUUCAUCAACCAUGAGAUGUCCCAAAUGGAAGAACUCGCUGACCAAGACCCGUGCCAAGGGGACACCGAGACACACCCAGAGCAGUGUCACGGCAAUGUCAGGGGACACAAAACUCUGUCCCAAUGGGAAGACUUCACCAACCAAGAGAGAUCCCAGUGGGAAAGACCUUCCUGA
rnacentral:lncRNA from 1 species